AGAGAACCUGGCUCCACUUCAAAAGGCCUUGCUGGGUGCAGCACUAAAGAAGGGACAUUUGUCUUCUCUGUCCUCCUCGUCCUUGCACCACUGUUUCCCUCACUGGGACCUUCUUGCACUCCCAGCAAAAGCUGCCAUCGGACCAUCCAUUGAUGCUGCUGUGCAGCUCUGUGUUUCUAAACUGGAAAAACGUAAGAACGGCUUUAAAAGAAAAAAUUCUCACUCAUUUCCCAAGAAAUGGAUGCCAAUUACCAAUGCAAAAGAGUUUAGAUUUUAUAAUUAAUAAAAGUGUUAUAUGAUUGCAGAACUAAAAAUACAGGCAUGUGAAAAAUAUACAUGGGAGUUCCCAUCGGUCUGUGCACGUCUGUUUGAGAAACACAGGGUUGUAUGCUCACUCACAGCUUUGAGUGUUAGUCUUUCAAUGUUUAUUUGAAUUUUGACAAAGAUCAAACUUUUAAGCAAAGAGAAUGAAGCUUCAAUGACAGGAUUUCAGGCCUUGGGAAGAAGCAGAGGCAAAUUGGGAUAUUUUUGUACGAUCCUAGAAUUACAUGACAUUGUUAAUUACCUACUGUGUCUCUUGCUAAGGCUGGCCUUGAUGAACUUUCUGAUUGAAGCAAUUCAGGUAACUUUUAAAAUAAGGUCACCACACUAAAUUGAAAGAGACCAGAGGCCUCCUUAGCCACGUCAAGAACAUGACAAUUGCAGUAUCUGUUCUCUCAGGGAAAGAGCAAGUUUCAAGUUCAUUGCCAAGAUGCCUAUUGUGCCAAUCUGAUGCUUAAAUGAUUUUGUUUUUUUUGCUGAAGAAGAUAACAACAGCAGCCCUGAGACAACAUCUGUUGCCAAUCUUCCUCUUUUUGCUUGAAGAAGAUUGUCCCUGAGCUAACAUCUGUGCCAAUCUUCCUUUACUUUGUAUGUGGGACAGGGCCACAGCAUGGCCACAGUCAAGUGGUGUAGGUCUGCACCCAGGAUCUGAACCCGGGCUGUCAGAGUGGAACGUGCCAAAUUUACCACUGGGCCACGGGACUGGCCCCUUAAAUGAUUUUUAAGGAUAAUAUUCAGUUUAUCUAAAGAAACUUUGGGAAUAACCUGUGAUAUUAUUAACCAGAAAUCAAUCUUCUCAUCCACUGUCCACUUCUAAAACUUGGCUUGAAGGCUUUCUUGAAUAAUCCAGCUCCUCAUAUUUUCCAAUGCGCACUGCAGCAGAGCUGAAAUGGUUUUCUAUAAGCCUGCUUCCCUUACAUUUACAUUUAAAUUUUCCAUUUUUAGGCAUAAACCAGUUUAUUUUACCCAUCAAACUAAAUUUUAUUAAUUGGAUUUCCACCUGCAUGGCAGGAAGGGGAAGACGUAGGGUUGAGCACAAGCAAUCACACCAAAGGGAAGAAGGAAAGCCUUGAAUCAGAGAAAGCAGAGUUUAUUAAGAUAAGACUCCUGCUGUCACCAUCAUGACUUCUGUUACCACCUGGCUAGGUGGGACCCGUGCUGAGGUGCUGACCACGUGUCUGGGAUCGGUGUUCUCUUUCACAGCCGGCAAUACUUCUCAAACCCUGCUCCUGCACCCCAUUUAUGAUGAAAGUAAAGCUUUUUGCAUUCAGGUUGAACUGUUCACUUCUGGAUCACAUCAGCAGGGGCAGAAUGGCUGACUGUCUCACUCUUAAUGAUGUUAAGACUGAUCAGUUGGUUCAGGUGUCAGCCUGAUCCAUUCUUUGUAAAACUUCCCAUCAACUUUUCAGCUAAUGGUUUUAAGAACUCUGGGUAAUCAUUGCCUCAAGCCAUUAUUUCCUUCGGACCUGCAAAAUGAUGAUCGUCUCAUUUUUUAUUUCUUUUGCAUUGGUUGACUGGAAUUCUUCAAAAAACGGUAUUUCCUCAUCGACUAUUUAGUUAUCCUGAAAUAAGAGUGUGUACAGAAAAGACAAAAUAAAUACUUAAUUUUUUUCUUUUAUUUAGCAAUUUUCAGAAUGAGUUGGUGUCUAGCAAUCUCCAAUGACCAAUGUGUUGUUUUAUUCAU
rnacentral:lncRNA from 1 species